rnacentral:piRNA from 1 species
UAGCAGGGCCUUUGCUGAUAAUCAUGAUGUU